UCCUUCUCCUUCUCCAGUUGUGUCACCUCCUCCUCCUCCUCCCUCUCCUUCGAUCUCCGUCCUCCGGCCACCGAAUUCGAUAAAUGAACACCCUAAAAACAUCUACUCAACGCAAGGAAGAAGAUUAUAGCUUAGAUUUGAACUGAAAUUGCGUCUAUUUUGAAGGGGAAGAGCUUGAAGUUUCGGCCACCGUGGUUACACUUUUUUCCGGCGAUUCACGGCGUUUCAGGCAAGCCUAGAGCGCAAGGUGAGUACCAAAUGACUCCUCUCUUCUUCCUCUUUCAUUUGAUGGCCUCCUCGUCGACUGUAAUAGCCGGAAUCGGAAAACCCAAAAUGGGUAUCACCG
rnacentral:lncRNA from 1 species